UUCAAUGAAUAAGUAGGAAAGUAACUGGUUACGAAAUUGCAAUUCUAGCCACACUAUGAGAAAUUUUUCAAUGCUCCCGAAGGACUACGUGGUAGUCUGACGUGGUCUUAUAUUCUAUUCAAAUUUUGACACCUAUAUCUAUUACAACUAAAAUAUAAACUAAAGUUUUCUAUAUUUUGUGAAAUGAUCGUCAUGGGUCUUUUAUGAGUUUGGCCUAAGGUUUAGGGUAUACGAUUUAGGGGUUAGGGUAUAGGGUGUAUGGUUAGAGUAUAGGGUUUAGGGUAUAGGGUAUAUGGUUAGAGUAUAGGGUUUUCGGGUUUAGGGUUUAAAAAAUCAAUAAGAAACCCAAAAUGCUAUUUGACAAAAUCGCUAAAAUAGUUUUUCAUUAUGAAAAUCCACAUGUCAAAAUUUGAAUGGAAAAAAAAACCACGUCAGACUGCCACACAGUCCUUAAGGGAGCACUGAAAAAUUUCUCGCCACACUGUGGGCAACUUUAUUACUUUAGGCACAUCUUCUUCUUCUUUUUCUCAGAAAUGUCACCAAUAUCACAAAUGUUGCCCACUAAAUUUGUUCUAAUGAUAUUAGUUCUCUCUUCCUAACUGGUAAGUCAUGAAUUAUAAUCACACAACAGAAGACUAGCUGUUGUAAUUUCGGUUGUUGAUGUAAUAAAUAUAUUUUUGAUUGGGAGUGAGAGAUAACAACACACUUUAGUUACGUUAACAAGUUAGUAAUACAUUUAUCGAGUCAAUAGCACUCUAUGCGAGGAGAAUAUUCAAUAUAAUAAAUAUUUUUAAAUUUUGUCACCGCAUGUUUUAUUUUCAUCAUUUACAAAAAUUUAACUGUGUCCAAAAACUAUUAUCUUAAAUCGAAAAGUCUAUUGUGUAGACCUAAAAGUUACUGUCGUUUGUUGCCCAAAGUUUCUAAAUUCUUUUCAAGCCAAAUCUGCUCCGGCCAAAUCGAUAUUGUUCAGCCCUUUUCGUUGGUGGACUUGUCUCGUUGUGCUCCUCUCACCGCACCAAGUCUGCUCAUCGCAUGGAUCGUCUAUCUCAUCAUGGAAGACCACACAUUGAGCCUCAAAAGUUCACAAUUUUCCGACCGAAUCUCAUCUUUUAUCCGGCAAUUUUAUCAUAUCAUCAUGUCGACCCAAAUUUGGAAAUUAUAUAUAUAUUCUCAUGAAAAUUUACAUAUACGCACCUACUCAGGUGCUGAAUUUGAUCAUCUGAGUAUUUUGUUAUAAAAUGUGUGGAAUUUAGGGUCAAUGACAAAAUUAUUGACUGAUCGAGGUAACUAGGUAAGAUAUGGAUCAUGUUCUGGAUUCAAAUACCAAAUUUCAAGUUGUGGAAAACACAAGGCAAAUAAAAAGAUGGUACAGUUUACAAUCUGGAUCUUGGUCAAAUUUCCCAACUGGUACAUAUAAUUCAUUACAUAUAACAACUAAGGCACAAGUCUCAGUCUCACCAACGCAUAGACAAGUAGACAAAGCCAAGCACUUGGGUACAAACUGGAACUUGAAAAU
rnacentral:lncRNA from 1 species